CGUAGGGCGCAAGCGUUGUCCGGAAUUAUUGGGCGUAAAGAGCUCGUAGGCGGUCUGUUACGUCGGAAGUGAAAACCCGGGGCUUAACCCCGGGCUUGCUUUCGAUACGGGCAGACUAGAGUGUGGUAGGGGAGACUGGAAUUCCUGGUGUAGCGGUGAAAUGCGCAGAUAUCAGGAGGAACACCGGUGGCGAAGGCGGGUCUCUGGGCCACUACUGACGCUGAGGAGCGAAAGCGUGGGGAGCAAACAGGAUUAGAUACCCUGGUAGUCCACGCCGUAAACGUUGGGCGCUAGGUGUGGGGGUCCUUCCACGACCUCCGUGCCGCAGCUAACGCAUUAAGCGCCCCGCCUGGGGAGUACGGCCGCAAGGCUA
rnacentral:rRNA from 1 species